rnacentral:rRNA from 1 species
GACGAACGCUGGCGGCGUGCUUAACACAUGCAAGUCGAACGGAAAGGCCCUGCUUUUGUGGGGUGCUCGAGUGGCGAACGGGUGAGUAACACGUGAGUAACCUGCCCUUGACUUUGGGAUAACUUCAGGAAACUGGGGCUAAUACCGGAUAGGAGCUCCUGCUGCAUGGUGGGGGUUGGAAAGUUUCGGCGGUUGGGGAUGGACUCGCGGCUUAUCAGCUUGUUGGUGGGGUAGUGGCAUACCAAGGCUUUGACGGGUAGCCGGCCUGAGAGGGUGACCGGCCACAUUGGGACUGCGAGACGGCCCAGAAGCCAACGGGAGGCAGCAGUGGGGAAUAUUGCACAGUGGGGGGAAGCCUGAUGCAGCAGCGCCGCGUGCGGGAUGACGGCCUUCGGGUUGUAAACCGCUUUCGCCUGUGACGAAGCGUGAGUGACGGUAAUGGGUAAAGAAGCACCGGCUAACUACGUG